CUGAUGGCCCUUGGCAGAGGUGCCUUCUCAUAUGGAGUGCUGCUGAUCUCUACUCACAGAUCCAUACUCCCAGACACAUAGAUCCAUACUUCCAGAAACACACACAGAUCCACACUGACUGACAAACAGACGCACACCCAGAUACGCAGAUAAUCGGUGCCAUACACAUAUUGACGCACACUCACAGAUAAACUCAUACAUACAAACAUUCAUGGAUAC